rnacentral:rRNA from 1 species
CAAUAGCAUAUAUUAAAGUUGUUGCGGUUAAAAAGCUCGUAGUUGGAUUUCUGUAGUAGGCAGCCGGUCCACACUAUGUGUGAGUAUCUGGUUCGGCUACUGCAUCCUCCUGGAGAACGUUGGUGCGCUUCACUGCGUGGCGCGGAAUUCAGGACUUUUACUUUGAGGAGAUUAGACUGUUCACGGCAGGCGUUUGCCCUGGAUAUAUUAGCAUGGAAUAAUGAUAUAGGAUCCACGUCCUAUUUUGUUACUUUCUAUGACGAUAAUAAUGAUUAAUAUAGAUAAUUGGGGGCAAUCGUAUUAACACGUCAGAAGUGGAAUUCUUGGAUUGUGUUACGACAAACUAAUGCGAAAGCAUUUGCCAAGGAUGUUUUCAUUGAUCAAGAACGAAAGUAAGGGGAUCGAAGACGAUCAGAU